rnacentral:rRNA from 1 species
GUACACGCUGUGACUAGCAUAUCAAUAAGCGGAGGAAAAGAAACUAACAAGGAUUCCCUCAGUAACGGCGAGUGUAGCGGGAAGAGCUCAAAUUUGAAAUCUUGAAAGGUCACCUUUCACGAAUUGUAGUUUAAAGAAGUGUUUUCUGUUACGAUCGUAAUAUAAGUUCUUUGGAAUAGGACAUCACAGAGGGUGAGAAUCCCGUCUAUGAUUGCGAUUUGUAGCUUUGUGAUACACUUUCAAAGAGUCGGGUUGUUUGGGAAUGCAGCCCAAAACGGGAGGUAAAUUUCUUCUAAGGCUAAAUAUUGGCGAGAGACCGAUAGCGAACAAGUACCGUGAGGGAAAGAUGAAAAGAACUUUGAAAAGAGAGUUAAAUAGUACGUGAAAUUGUCAAAAGGGAAGCGUUUAACACCAGUGUUGUUUUCUGAAAAUCAACCUCUGUUAGCUUUAUGCAUGUUUGUUUAGACCUAAUCAGCUAUCAUUGCAUGUUCUAUUGUUUGCAGUGGUGCACUUUUCAGUUUACAGGUCAACAUCAGUUUUUUUUACCGUAAAAAAGUUAAAGAAAGGUAGCUCAUGGCUCCGGUCGUGAGUGUUAUAGUCUUUUUCCUAUGCGGUAGGAGAGACUGAGGUCUGCAGUGUAGGCUAUUUGGCUAGAUACUCAGGUGCUAUGUGAUACCAUUUCAUAAACAACUUGUUGAUUAUGUUUUGUCUAUUGCAUACUCGCUUGUACUAUCAUACCUACGCUUAGGAUGUUGAGUAGCGACAUACGCAC